CAGAGAUUCCAGAGAAGGAUCGGGAACAGAGAGAAGGGAUGGCUGGAUAGGGUAGCGGUCCCAGGGGGCCAUCAGGAAUGAGAGGAGGGGUUGGAUGGGGU